UACAGAGGGUGCGAGCGUUAAUCGGAAUUACUGGGCGUAAAGCGUGCGUAGACGGUUACGUAAGUCGGGUGUGAAAGCCCCGGGCUCAACCUGGGAAUUGCAUUCGAGACUGUGUAGCUAGGGUGCGGAAGAGGGAAGCGGAAUUUCCGGUGUAGCGGUGAAAUGCGUAGAUAUCAGGAGGAACACCGGUGGUGUAAACGGCUUUCUGGACCAUAACUGACACUGAGGCACGAAAGCGUGGGUAGCAAACAGG
rnacentral:rRNA from 1 species